rnacentral:rRNA from 1 species
AUUGAACGCUGGCGGCAGGCUUAACACAUGCAAGUCGAACGAGUGGCGGACGGGUGAGUAAUGCUUGGGAAUCUGGCUUAUGGAGGGGGAUAACGACGGGAAACUGUAGCUAAUACCGCGUACCAUAGGAUGAGCCCAAGUGGGAUUAGGGAGUUGGUGGGGUAAAGGCCCACCAAGCCGACGAUCCCUAGCUGGUCUGAGAGGAUGACCAGGCAACCCGGGACCGGGAACAGGCCCAGACGCCUACGGGAGGCAGCAGUGGGGAAUAUUGCGCAAUGGGGGCAACCUGACGCAGCCAUGCCUCGUGAAUGAAGAAGGCCUUCGGGUUGUAAAGUUCUUUCGGUGACGAGGCGUUAAUCACAGAAGAAGCACCGGCUAACUCCGUGCCAGCAGCCGCGGUAAUAC